GCUUAACACAUGCAAGUCGAGCGGAGGGCUUCGGCUCUCAGCGGCGAACGGGUGAGUAACACGUAGGUAACGUACCUUCUGGUGGGGAAUAACUGGGGGAAACCCUAGCUAAUACCGCAUAUGCUCGCAAGAGUAAAAGCCCUCGGGCGCCAGUAGAUCGGCCUGCGGCCCAUUAUUUAGUCCUAGUUGGUAGGGUAACGGCCUACCAAGGGUACGAUGGGUAGCUGAUCUGAGAGGAUGAUCAGCCACAUUGGGACUGAGACACGGCCCAAACUCCUACGGGAGGCAGCAGUGGGGAAUAUUGGACAAUGGGCGAAAGCCUGAUCCAGCCACGCCGCGUGAGUGAUGAAGGCCUUCGGGUUGUAAAGCUCUGUCGUAGGGGACGAAAGGGGAAACCUUUGACGGUACCUUACAAGGAAGCACCGGCUAACUCCGUGCCAGCAGCCGCGGUAGUACGGAGGGUGCAAGCGUUGCUCGGAAUUACUGGGCGUAAAGCGCACGCAGGCGGUUUGAUAAGUCGGAUGUGAAAGCCCUGGGCUCAACCCAGGAACUGCAUUCGAAACUGCCAGACUUGAGUUCGAGAGAGGGGGGUGGAAUUCCUGGUGUAGAGGUGAAAUUCGUUGAUAUCAGGAGGAACACCGGCGGCGAAAGCGGCCCCCUGGCUCGAUACUGACGCUCAUGUGCGAAAGCGUGG
rnacentral:rRNA from 1 species